rnacentral:rRNA from 1 species
CUUUUCCUGAUUUGGAUUUAAUAGGAAGUAUGGCCUGCCCAAUGAAUUUUAAAUGGCCGCGGUAUUUUGACCGUGCAAAGGUAGCAUAAUCAUUAGUCUCUUAAUUAGGGACUGGAAUGAAUGGUUUGACGAAAUAAAAACUGUCUUUAUUUUAAAGUAUUUAAUUUAAUUUUUGAGUAAAAAAGCUUAAAUUUUUUUGUGGGACGAGAAGACCCUGUAGAGUUUAAAUACUUUUAGUGAAUUUUUUUAAGUGUGAAUAUUAUUAAGUAAUAGAGAGUAUUUGGUUGGGGUGACUGAAAGAUAAGUUUAACUCUUUUUGUUUAGUAAUUACUAAUUUGUAUAUAUUUGAUCCAUUACUAAUGAUUAUAAGACUAAACUACCUCAGGGAUAACAGCGUAAUCUUUUUUGAGAGUUCUUAUCGACAAAAAGGGUUGCGA